AUUGAACGCUGGCGGAAUGCUUUACAAAUGCAAGUCGAACGGUAGAGGGGGCAAACCCUCGAGAGUGGCGAACGGGUGAGUAAUAUAUCGGAACGUGCCCAGUCGUGGGGGAAAACGUAGCGAAAGUUACGCUAAUACCGCAGACGAUCUAAGGAAGAAAGCGGGGGAACGCAAGACCUCGCGCGAUUGGAGCGGACGAUAUCAGAUUAGGUAGUUGGUGGGGUAAAGGCUCACCAAGCCAACGAUCUGUAGCUGGUAUGAGAGGACGACCAGCCACACUGGAACUGAGACACGGACCAGACUCCUACGGGAGGCAGCAGUGGGGAAUUUUGGACAAUUGACGCAAGUCUGAUCCAGCCAUUCCGCGUGCAGGAUGAAGGCCCUCGGGUUGUAAACUGCUUUUGUACGGAACGAAAAGGUCUCUCUUAAUACGGGGGACUCAUGACGGUACCGUAAGAAUAAGCACCGGCUAACUACGUGCCAGCCGCCGCAGUAA
rnacentral:rRNA from 1 species